rnacentral:rRNA from 1 species
CAGCAGCCACGGUAAAACGUAGGGUGCAAGCGUUAAUCGGAAUUACUGGGCGUAAAGCGUGCGCAGGCGGUUCUAUAAGACAGAUGUGAAAUCCCCGGGCUCAACCUGGGAACUGCAUUUGUGACUGUAGAGCUGGAGUGCGGCAGAGGGGGAUGGAAUUCCGCGUGUAGCAGUGAAAUGCGUAGAUAUGCGGAGGAACACCGAUGGCGAAGGCAAUCCCCUGGGCCUGCACUGACGCUCAUGCACGAAAGCGUGGGGAGCAAACAGGAUUAGAUACCCCGGUAGUCCCUGUCUCUUAUCC